UACGGAGGGUGCGAGCGUUGUCCGGAAUCAUUGGGCGUAAAGGGCGCGUAGGUGGCCCAGUAAGCGUGCGGUGAAAGCUCGGGGCUCAACCCCGAGUCGGCCGUGCGAACUACUGGGCUGGAGCACUGUAGAGGCAGGCGGAAUUCCUGGUGUAGCGGUGAAAUGCGCAGAUAUCAGGAAGAACACCCGUGGCGAAGGCGGCUCUCUGGGACGGUACUGACGCUGAGACGCGAAAGCGUGGGGAGCGAACAGG
rnacentral:rRNA from 1 species